rnacentral:rRNA from 1 species
CCUACGGGUGGCAGCAGUAGGGAAUCUUCCACAAUGGGCGAAAGCCUGAUGGAGCAACGCCGCGUGGGUGAAGAAGGUCUUCGGAUCGUAAAACCCUGUUGUUAGAGAAGAAAGUGCGUGAGAGUAACUGUUCACGUGUCGACGGUAUCUAACCAGAAAGCCACGGCUAACUACGUGCCAGCAGCCGCGGUAAUACGUAGGUUGCAAGCGUUAUCCGGAUUUAUUGGGCGUAAAGGGAACGCAGGCGGUCUUUUAAGUCUGAGGUGAACGCCUUCGGCUUAACCGGAGUAGUGCAUUGGAAACUGGGAGACUUGAGUGCAGCAGAGGAGAGUGGAACUCCAUGUGUAGCGGUUAAAUGCGUAGAUAUAUGGAAGAACACCAGUGGCGAACGCGGCUCUCUGGUCUGUAACUGACGCUGAGGUUCGAAAGCGUGGGUAGCAAACAGGAUUAGAUACCCUUGUAGUC